UACAGAGGGGGCAAGCGUUGUUCGGAAUUACUGGGCGUAAAGGGCGCGUAGGCGGCCAACUAAGUCGGACGUGAAAUCCCCGGGCUCAACCCGGGAACUGCGUCCGAUACUGGAUGGCUUGAAUCCGGGAGAGGGAUGUGGAAUUCCAGGUGUAGCGGUGAAAUGCGUAGAUAUCUGGAGGAACACCCGUGGCGAAGGCGGUUCUCUGGGACGGUACUGACGCUGAGACGCGAAAGCGUGGGGAGCGAACAGG
rnacentral:rRNA from 1 species